rnacentral:lncRNA from 1 species
GAUUUCUUAAGCAACAUCAUUUGGCUUUAGUGUCAAUGGACCCCUGAUGACCAAUGAUGGUGCUCAAGAAGUCACUUCUACACAAUAAAAUUACAGAAUACCCACAGGGAGAAGGAGAAAUGGCACUUUGACCCAAUUCUUGGCACCAGGCUGAAGGACCACACAUCCUGACCUGUGUUCAAUAGUGGAAUGAGAAAUAUCAAGACACAAAUUAGGAGCUGGCUUCGGUAAGUCAAUAGAACAAUUAAAAGUAGGAAAGUUCAUGAGGA